UACGAAGGGGGGCUAGCGUUGUUCGGAAUUACUGGGCGUAAAGCGUAUGCAGGCGGACUUUUAAGUCGGGGGUGAAAUCCCGAGGCUCAACCUCGGAACUGCCUUCGAUACUGGAAGUCUUGAGUCCGGGAGAGGUGAGUGGAACUCCGAGUGUAGAGGUGAAAUUCGUAGAUAUUCGGAAGAAACACCAGUGGCGAAGGCGGCUCACUGGCCCGGUACUGACGCUGAGAUACGAAAAGCGUGGGGAGCAAACAGG
rnacentral:rRNA from 1 species